UACGUAGGGACCAAGCGUUGUUCGGAUUUACUGGGCGUAAAGGGCGCGUAGGCGGUAUGACAAGUCACUUGUGAAAUCUCCGGGCUUAACUCGGAACGGCCAAGUGAAACUGUCAAACUAGAGUGCGGAAGGGGCAAUCGGAAUUCUCGGUGUAGCGGUGAAAUGCGUAGAUAUCGAGAGGAACACCUGCGGCGAAGGCGGGUUGCUGGGCUGACACUGACGCUGAUGCGCGAAAGCUAGGGGAGCGAACGGG
rnacentral:rRNA from 1 species